rnacentral:rRNA from 1 species
CCUACGGGGGGCAGCAGUGAGGAAUAUUGGUCAAUGGACGAGAGUCUGAACCAGCCAAGUAGCGUGAAGGAUGACUGCCCUAUGGGUUGUAAACUUCUUUUAUAUGGGAAUAAAACGUUCCACGUGUGGGAUUUUGUAUGUACCAUAUGAAUAAGGAUCGGCUAACUCCGUGCCAGCAGCCGCGGUAAUACGGAGGAUCCGAGCGUUAUCCGGAUUUAUUGGGUUUAAAGGGAGCGUAGGUGGAUUGUUAAGUCAGUUGUGAAAGUUUGCGGCUCAACCGUAAAAUUGCAGUUGAAACUGGCAGUCUUGAGUACAGUAGAGGUGGACGGAAUUCGUGGUGUAGCGGUGAAAUGCUUAGAUAUCACGAAGAACUCCGAUUGCGAAGGCAGUUCACUGGACUGCAACUGACACUGAGGCUCGAAAGUGUGGGUAUCAAACAGGAUUAGAUACCCUUGUAGUC